AAGUAUGACAGUUGGCACAAAGAAUUGCUGAGCAAGUUUGGAUCCAUGCUUGGCACGAAUAUGAAUGAUUUUUAUGGAACAAUUACCAAGAGUCGUACAGAUUUGGAACAACAUUCUGUUGAAGUAUCAUCAACAUCAGAUACCGUCAGCUUUAUUACUUUUGUUCAAUCUUUAAAACAUAAAC